rnacentral:rRNA from 1 species
ACGGAAGGCAGCAGUGAGGAAUAUUGGUCAAUGGGUGAGAGCUUGAACCAGCCAAGUCGCGUGCGGGAUGAAGGCCCUACGGGUCGUAAACCGCUUUUAUACGGGAAUAAAGUGCGCCACGCGUGGCGUUUUGCAGGUACCGUAGGAAUAAGGAUCGGCUAACUCCGUGCCAGCAGCCGCGGUAAUACGGAGGAUUCGAGCGUUAUCCGGAUUUAUUGGGUUUAAAGGGUGCGCAGGCGGCCUGCUAAGUCUCCGGUGAAAUGUCAGGGCUCAACCUUGGCACUGCCGGAGAUACUGGCGGGCUUGAGAGUGGCGGACGUCGCCGGAAUGUGUGGUGUAGCGGUGAAAUGCUUAGAUAUGGCGAAGAACUCCGAUCGCGUAGGCAGCUGACCAGGCCGUAAAUGACGCUCAUGCACGAAAGUGCGGGGAUCGAACAGGAUUAGAUACCCUGGUA